CCUACGGGCGGCUGCAGUGGGGAAUAUUGCACAAUGGGCGCAAGCCUGAUGCAGCCAUGCCGCGUGUGUGAAGAAGGCCUUCGGGUUGUAAAGCACUUUCAGCGGGGAGGAAGGCGGUGAGGUUAAUAACCUCAUCGAUUGACGUUACCCGCAGAAGAAGCACCGGCUAACUCCGUGCCAGCAGCCGCGGUAAUACGGAGGGUGCAAGCGUUAAUCGGAACUACUGGGCGUAAAGCGCACGCAGGCGGUCUGUCAAGUCGGAUGUGAAAUCCCCGGGCUCAACCUGGGAACUGCAUUCGAAACUGGCAGGCUAGAGUCUUGUAGAGGGGGGUAGAAUUCCAGGUGUAGCGGUGAAAUGCGUAGAGAUCUGGAGGAAUACCGGUGGCGAAGGCGGCCCCCUGGACAAAGACUGACGCUCAGGUGCGAAAGCGUGGGGAGCAAACAGGAUUAGAUACCCUAGUAGUC
rnacentral:rRNA from 1 species